AGGGGUAGGAGUGAAAUCGUAUAAUCCUUGUAGGACCACCAGUGGCGAAGGCGUCAGACUGGAACGCGCCUGACGGUGAGGGACGAAAGCCAGGGGAGCGAACCGGAUUAGAUACCCGGGUAGUCCUGGCCGUAAACGAUGCACACUAGAUGAUGGUGCGGCCAUGAGCCGUAUCAGUGUCGUAGGGAAACCGUUAAGUGUGCCGCCUGGGAAGUACGGUCGCAAGGCUUAAACUUAAAGGAAUUGGCGGGGGAGCACCACAAGGGGUGAAGCCUGCGGUUCAAUUGGACUCAACGCCGGGCAACUUACCAGGGGAGACAGCAGAAUGAAGGUCAGGUUGACGACCUUACCUAACAAGCUGAGAGGAGGUGCAUGGCCGUCGCCAGUUCGUGCUGUGAGGUAUCCUGUUAAGUCAGGCAACGAACGAGACCCGUGCCUUUAUUUGCCAUCAAGAAGUCACGACUUCGUUGGGAACGAUAAAGGGACUGCCGUCGAUAAGACGGAGGAAGGAGCGGGCAAAGGCAGGUCAGUAUGCCCCGAAACCCCUGGGCUACACGCGGGCUGCAAUGGUGCGAACAAUGGGCUGUGACUCCGACAGGAGAAACCAAUCCCGAAAUCGCAUCUCAGUUGGGAUUGUCAACUGUAACCCGUUGACAUGAACGUGGAAUCCCUAGUAAUCGCGUGUCACCAUCGCGCGGUGAUACGUCUCUGCUCCUUGCACUCACCGCCC
rnacentral:rRNA from 1 species